rnacentral:rRNA from 1 species
AACCCAUAUAUGUACAUCAUCACUUCCCCCCCUGAGGGACACCCAAAGCGAACAAAGCAUUUUACACCACUAACACGUCAGGUCAAGGUGUAGCUAACGGGGGGGGAGGAGAUGGGCUACAUUCUCAGCCACCUGAGCACACCAACAGCGAUCUGAAACCUACCACCACAAGGCGGAUUUAGCAGUAAACCAGGCAAGCAUGCCUGGUUGAACUAAGCCCUGAGACGCGCACACACCGCCCGUCACCCUCAUCAAAUAAGACCCAAGCCCACCAAGCCUACUUCCCCAAUCAACAACACUCAGAUGAGAUAAGUCGUAACAUGGUAAGUGUACUGGAAAGUGCACUUGAGGAGUAUAUACCGUACUGUGUAGUAUACA